rnacentral:rRNA from 1 species
AUGUUUGACGGAGUUGAGCGGAUGCUUCGGGGAGUCAGGCAUGUGCCAGGGCUAAGGAGGAAUCUAAUUUCACUUGGUGUUCUUCAUGAUGGUGGUAUGGUAUUCCGUUGUGAUCGGGAUAGGAAGACCAUGAGAAUCAUGGAAGAUAAGGUGACCGUGAUGAUUGAAGAGAGGACGGCUUCGCAUCUUUACAAGUUGCAAGGGAGCACUAUUGCAGGUGGAGUCACGGAGACUGGAGUUGCAGGAGUAGCAGCGGUGUCUCACGGCGGCGGCGGGUCUGGGGCAGACUCGUCGAGAACCUGGGGAAGGUGCCAGAGAAGUGGGCUGUAUAUGCCGACGCCGCGGAGUAGAUUCCAUUUGUAG